rnacentral:rRNA from 1 species
GACGUAGGGGGCGAGCGUUGUCCGGAUUUAUUGGGCGUAAAGCGUGCGUAGGCGGCUGCGCAAGUCGGUUGUGAAACCCCGGGGCUCAACCCCGGAACUGCAUCCGAUACUGCGUGGCUAGAGGUAGGUAGGGGAGAUCGGAAUUCCUGGUGUAGCGGUGAAAUGCGUAGAUAUCAGGAGGAAUACCGGUGGUGUAGACGGCUCUCUGGACCGCGACUGACGCUGAGACACGAAAGCGUGGGUAGCAAACAGG